UUUGUGACACAGACACAUGGACGGACGGACAGACGGACGGACGUACAGAUGAAGUGUCUACAAUAGGUUCUUUUUUUAAGAAAAAAGACCUAAAAAUUAGCUAACCUCAUCGGUGCCACCUCUAAAUUGUUGUUAAUGUUGUUGACUUACACAUAGGAUUCUUAUAAAUACGGUGCGAAAUCAUUCGACAACCACUUGUGAUCUUCAUUAGUUCUGACAAUCAUUUGUUGAAAUUAAAUUAUUCAAAUUUGUGGAUAUUGAGGCAAUAUGUUAAUAGUUUUGCUGCUGUGUGCCUUUGCUACGGCUUCUCCUAGCCGUAAUUACAACUAUCCAAAAUCGGACAUACCAAUUUCUGCCUCUCCCUCAGAAAUCACGGAUCCUAUUUCGCCAUCACAAACACCACCUACUCGUCCACAUGAAGCAGUCAUUGUUGAUCUAAAGUGUGCAGUUUCCUGUGUUGGUUAAUAAAAAUGUUGUUCAAAAUCAAACGUACAUCUACACAAUCCAAAAGUAUGUUCCGCAAGGCGUCAAAGUAUCAAAUCUUCAGUCGUUGGAAAAAAGAAUACAAAUUUCUGAUUAGAUAAUAAAAAUCUCCAUUUU